AGAAAGUUAGUCUAAACAAGACAGUUGAUUUCGACUCAACAGAUCAUAGUUUUAUCCUAUGACUCUCUC
rnacentral:tRNA from 1 species